GCAGAAUUUCACAUGGGCUACCAGGUAAUCUAUGUUUCUUUCCCCUCUAGAAGGCUGGGACUGAAAGAAUGGGAGCAGGUGGAAGGGGAGAAGCAGCUCCCCUUCUCUUCUCAGCCGCAGAGGAGAAACUGAAAUUAGCUAUAGAAGAGCUAUGGAUCUACGAGUGAAUUCAGCUCCUACCAGCAGCUCACACGAUGUCCAUUGUAUUACUUUGAAACUUUGUACAGUGUUUAGACCCAAGUAGCACACAAAUCUAUACAAAUAUUCAGGAGACAUUUAUUUAUAUAGACACUUCAGGAGAAAUGUGACAUUUUCCAGAUGUUAAGUUAAAAAUAUUAAUCUAAACAAGUUAAGGCACUAAAGAUUUCCUGAUCCCUGAUGCUGGCCAGACUAUGUGGAAAUGUGGUUCCUGAACAUGUUUCUGGAGGUGCUGGAUAUGAUUACAAACCUCAGGAAGCAGUUUGGUGGAGGACGAAUCACAUUGACAAGUAUGACCAUCCCAUUUAAGAGACCCACUUGUUGUAACCAUGAGAAAUAAUGAUGAAGAUACAAGGAAAAGAAGAUUUGGACUUUACAAUGAAAGAUCCUCAUUGCAGAAUUAGGGAGCUGUCACCACAGGUAAGGAGACCGUGUCAACGUGGAGCCCCACAGGUAUUAAUAAUAAAUCCAAGAUGAUGUAGCGAUGGCUUUGAGCUUUCUGUACUCUCCUCCUCAUGUGAAAUGUGUCUUAUAUGAUCAGAUCGUGUGUAUGAGAACUCAGUUCUUAUAAUGGGAACCUGGGACAAUUAACAUCACCCUCAACAUGGUACUUCAUCUGAUGAAAGCCAUUUCACACCCAGGAGAAGAGUAAAAGAAACACAA
rnacentral:lncRNA from 1 species